rnacentral:sRNA from 1 species
AAUUCGUCAAGCUUACUCCUAUUAUGGG